CGGGGUGUAGCGCAGUUGGUAGCGCGCAUCGUUCGGGACGAUGAGGUUGGCGGUUCGAGUCCGCCCACCCCGA
rnacentral:tRNA from 1 species